rnacentral:rRNA from 1 species
GACAGAGGCCUCAAGCGUCAGGCGGAAUCACUGGGCUUAAAGCGUGUGUAGGCGGAUGCCUAAGUACCUUGUGAAAUCCCACGGCUCAACCGUGGAACUGCUGGGUAUACUGGGUGUCUUGGGCCAUUCAGGGGCGACUGGAACAAGCGGUGGAGCGGUGAAAUGCGUAGAUAUCGCUUGGAACGCCGAAGGUGAAAACAGGUCGCUGGACCACAACUGACGCUGAUGCGCGAAAGCUAGGGGAGCAAACAGG